rnacentral:rRNA from 1 species
AUUGAACGCUGGCGGCAUGCCUAACACAUGCAAGUCGAACGGGGCAGCAAUGCCUAGUGGCGGACGGGUGAGGAAUACGUAGGAAUCUGCCCUUAAGUGGGGGAUAACCAGGGGAAACCCUGACUAAUACCGCAUGAUCUCUUCGGAGCAAAGAGGGGGACCGCAAGGCCUCUCGCUUCUGGAUGAGCCUACGUCUGAUUAGCUAGUUGGUAGGGUAAAGGCCUACCAAGGCGACGAUCAGUAACUGGUCUGAGAGGAUGAUCAGUCACACCGGAACUGAGACACGGUCCGGACUCCUACGGGAGGCAGCAGGGGGGAAUAUUGGACAAUGGGCGCAAGCCUGAUCCAGCAAUGCCGCGUGUGUGAAGAAGGCCUUCGGGCUGUAAAGCACUUUAGCCUGGAAAGAAAAAACUUUGGUUAACACCCAAAGUCUUGACGGUACCAGGAGAAUAAGCACCGGCUAACUCUGUGCCAGCCGCCGCGGUAACAC